rnacentral:tRNA from 1 species
GGCCAGGUAGCUCAGUUGGUACGAGCGUCGCCCUGAAAAGCGGAAGGUCGCCGGUUCGAUCCCGGCUCUGGCCACCA